GUCCCUGCGGCUCAGUUGGUAGAGCAUGGUGUUUGCAAUGCCAGAGUUGUGGGUUCGAUUCCCAUGGGGGGCC
rnacentral:tRNA from 1 species